AUACGUAGGGGGCGAGCGUUGUCCGGAAUGAUUGGGCGUAAAGGGCGCGUAGGCGGCCCGGUAAGUCUGGAGUGAAAGUCCUGUUUUUAAGAUGGGAAUUGCUUUGGAUACUGUCGGGCUUGAGUGCAGGAGAGGUAAGUGGAAUUCCCAGUGUAGCGGUGAAAUGCGUAGAGAUUGGGAGGAACACCAGUGGCGAAGGCGACUUACUGGACUGUAACUGACGCUGAGGCGCGAAAGUGUGGGGAGCAAACAGGAUUAGAUACCCUGGUAGUCCACACUGUAGACGAUGAAUGCUAGGUGUAGGGGGUAUCGACCCCUUCUGUGCCGCAGUCAACACAAUAAGCAUUCCGCCUGGGGAGUACGGCCGCAAGGUUGAAACUCAAAUGAAUUGACGGGG
rnacentral:rRNA from 1 species